rnacentral:pre_miRNA from 14 species
GGCCUCCUCCAGAAUGUGGACACCGCGGGGUGAGGUAGUAGGUUGUGUGGUUUCAGGGCAGUGAUGUCGCCCCUCCGAAGAUAACUAUACAACCUACUGCCUUCCCUGAGGCGCCCAGGGACACGUCCACAUGGA